AUACGUCCGCGGUCAUAUGCGCGCUCGUCUCCGGUACUGAGCGAGAGAGAAGCGAAGCAGAGGCCGAAAGAGAGGGGGGAGAGAGAUUUUAGGGUUAGGGUUUCCAUCCCUUGUUAUUCCAUCUAUCGUUGUGUAGAAAUGGAGGGCUGGGAUCCGAACACGAAGUCGACUCUGACUCAGAUCCCGUUGCUCUCCACCAGAGCUGGCCCACGAGAUGGGCCGGCGUGGACACAGCGUCUCAAAGAGGAGUACAAAUCCCUCAUCGCGUACACCUCCAUGAACAAAUCCAACGAUAACGAUUGGUUUCGGAUAUCGGCCGCCAACCCCGAGGGCACGCGGUGGACCGGCAGGUGCUGGUACGUCCACAACCUCCUUAAAUACGAAUUCGACCUCCAAUUCGACAUCCCUGUCACCUACCCGGCAACCGCCCCCGAGAUCGAGCUGCCCCAGCUUGAUGGAAAGACCCACAAGAUGUAUAGAGGAGGGAAGAUUUGCUUGACGGUGCAUUUCAAGCCAUUGUGGGCGAAGAAUUGCAAUAGGGUAGGAAGAAAGAUCUACAAGCUUGACAUGGAGACAGUGUGCGACCACGUUGACGUGAAGUUUCUCAACUAUAUGCUGGAUAGGAUGGGAUGUUGUGCAGUUUGGAGAUGGAUCUAGGAAUUUGUAAGUUCAGCUAGAUAUUCUUUGUGGGUGAAUGGAUCCGGGGGCUGCAGAAACUCUUAGGAGGUUGCUGUAGAAAGCAAGAGUAAUGGGCUUGAUUUGCAGUUUUAAGGUGGAAAGUGUGAGAUUUCAGUUUUCCUAUCACUAGUUUGCUGAUGACACCUUGUUAUUCUGUGAUGCUAAAGAGUUGCAAGUGGACAAGCCAAGGAAGUCUUUUUGUUUGAGGUGGUUUCUGGUCCGAACAUCAACAUCCAUAAGAGUAAGAUUGUGGUAGUUAGGUUGGAACCUGUGGAGGUGGAUUGAUUUUCCUGGGCAUUUAGCUGUAAGCCGGCUUGUCUUCCUUCUUACUUGGGCCUUCUGCUAUGAAUUGUCAAGCCAACGAAACACUUGUGGGACAAUUAUUGACAGAAUCGAAUUAAAGCUCUCCAGUUGGAAGUGGAGAUACUUGUCAUUGGGUGGCAGAAUCACACUUAUUAAGGCAGCCAUGCCCAAUAUGCCACUGUUGUACAUGCUAUUAUUCCAGUCUAUGCCACUGUUCUGCAUGUCAUUUGUCCAGUGUCCAGCUUCAAUCUUAGCACGUUGGAAAAGCUUCGUAGAAAUUCUCUGGAAAGGGACAAGAUGAGCAUAGAGUUCACCUCGUGAAUUGGAGUAUGCAGGCCCACAGUGAAGGAGGGCAAGUAUUGGGGAUUUGAAAUCUAUGAAUGCAGGCCCACCAAUGCAUUGGGAAAGUGGUUAUGGUCCUUCUGGAUCUUUGGAAUGAAAGGUGACAGUUUAUAGAAGCAGAUUAUUUCCUGUAAAUAAGGGUUAGAGAGGGGAGGGUGAAGCCUCUUUAGUACCCCAAAAGGCCAUCUUCAGAGUUGUGGAUAUGUUCAAGAAAGAAACUUCAUAUACGGUUGGUAAUGGAACCCACACCUGGUUUUGGGAGGAUGUUUGGUGUGCUGAUAGGCUCAGAGAUGGUAAGCUCUCAGUGCUUCGAUUUAUUAUGCGGUCAUGUGGUUUAGGCUCCACCUUGUCACAGGAAUCCUGAUGAGUUUAGAGUUGGAGAAAUGGUGGGUUUGCUGACGUUAUUGCAGCUGUUCCCCCGCCACGCUUGAAAGUGAUAGAUGAGUUCGGAGAUUGGAAAUCUAAGGCAGAUUCUUGUUCCUCUCCACGGGAAUCUUCUGUGCCAAUGGAGUUCAUUGGGUCUUUCCUAAUGUAGACAAUUGGCAAGUUAAAUGGUGAUCAAAUGCAUGCAUUUUUUAUGUCUUCGGGAUGCUGAAUCGGAGGAUAAUCUCUUUACACUUUCCCCUUUGCUAUGGCUGUCAGAGGGCUUCUUCAACCUAUUUCACUGUUGCUGGGUGGUGCCAUAGUCGAUUAGGUCUUUUUUCUUCCCAUGUCAUGGGGAGGAGUGGGCCCCAAAGGGAGAAUUCUUGCAAGCUUGUGGUCAAUUUGGGUAGAGCGUAAUAAUUGAUGUUUUAGAAACUGAUCCCGAAACCCUGAUGAGGUGUUUAGGAAGGCAAAGGUGGAAGUAGUUUCUUGGGCAGUUUGCUGGUGUAUUUUUUGAGAAUGUCAAUUCCUUUCAGUUAGUUUCCAGCCGUUUCCUUUUAAUCUGUAGAGCUUUGAUUUCUCGUCUCCGCUCUUCUGCUUCUAAUAAUAUUUUCAGUUCCUGUUUCAUUUUCUUUCUGCCAGAAUCAAAUACAAUUUUUGUGUGCAAGCAACUUAAUUUUAUCGGAACUAAAACAAACCAAUACAAAAGCUAAGACAGACCCCAGCACUAGCAAUAUUGCCUAAACAACAGCAGCUCUGCCUAGUGACUAAAUGAAUAGUUUAAUCAAGAAGCAGAGAACUGAAGAAAAAGCAGCCAGCUAUAUAUAAAUAAAUUUCAAAAAAAAAAAAAAGAGGAAAGAAAGAGAAAGAAAACAACCAUAGGAUGGCACCCCAGUGUCACCUAGCCACCAGGAUCAGACUCCAAUCCUUGCUGAUCUCUGCUACCAAUUCCCCACUGCGAACCUCGUGAUUCGUUGCCAGAAUCAAACACAUGGUAUGGCAUCACAUGUUUCACACAAUAGUAAUGUAGCCCCAGAUUCGGAAUUGCCCAUGCUCUUUGCUUGGGUCUUGCUCCAUGGCUAGCUGCAGAGGUGCCUAUUCUUGUGGAUUCAGGCAUGGUGAAACACAAAGAUGAUGCAACCUCAUCAGUCGAAUCUUAGUACAGUUUUUUUUUAUUAUUUAAAAUAAUUGUAAGACCAUUUACUAAUGUCUUGUAAUUUUAGGACUUCGGAUGGACAAAUAAAUUUGAGAGGCAUUGAACAGUUA